rnacentral:tRNA from 1 species
UCCGAUAUGGUGUAGUGGCUAACAUUAUCGCCUCUCAUUUGUGAUCGCGAUAGCCCGGGGUUCGAUUCCCCGUGUCGGAA